rnacentral:rRNA from 1 species
UAAUGCAGCGGCACCACAUGGUGACAGUUGUUAAAGCGGGGGAUUUUAGGCUCUCGCGCCUGAAGAGGAGCCUGCGGCAGAUUAGCUAGUUGGUAGGGUAACGGCUUACCAAGGCGACGAUCUGUAACCGGCCUGAGAGGGCGGUCGGUCACACUGACACUGACAUACGGGUCAGACUCCUACGGGAGGCAGCAGUCGGGAAUUUUGGGCAAUGGGCGAAAGCCUGACCCAGCAACGCCGCGUGAAGGAUGAAAUCUCUCUCGGGAUGUAAACUUCGCAAGAAUGGGAAGAAUUAGUAGGGGUUAAUGCCCCCUAUGAUGACGGUACCAUUUGUAAGCUCCGGCUAACUCCGUGCCAGCAGCCGCGGUAAUACGGGGGGAGCAAGCGUUGUUCGGAUUUACUGGGCGUAAAGGGCGCGUAGGCGGUCAGCACAAGUCAGUUGUGAAAUCUCCGGGCUUAACUCGGAACGGUCAACUGAUACUGUGCGACUAGAGUGCAGAAGGGGCAACUGGAAUUCUCGGUGUAGCGGUGAAAUGCGUAGAUAUCGAGAGGAACACCUGCGGCGAAGGCGGGUUGCUGGGCUGACACUGACGCUGAGGCGCGAAAGCCAGGGGAGCGAACG